UACGUAGGGCGCAAGCGUUAUCCGGAAUUAUUGGGCGUAAAGAGCUCGUAGGCGGUUUGUCGCGUCUGCCGUGAAAGUCCGGGGCUCAACUCCGGAUCUGCGGUAGGUACGGGCAGACUAGAGUGAUGUAGGGGAGACUGGAAUUCCUGGUGUAGCGGUGAAAUGCGCAGAUAUCAGGAGGAACACCGAUGGCGAAGGCAGGUCUCUGGGCAUUAACUGACGCUGAGGAGCGAAAGCAUGGGGAGCGAACAGG
rnacentral:rRNA from 1 species